UGGGGAAUAUUGGACAAUGGGCGAAAGCCUGAUCCAGCCAUGCCGCGUGUGUGAAGAAGGUCUUCGGAUUGUAAAGCACUUUAAGUUGGGAGGAAGGGCAGUUACCUAAUACGUAUCUGUUUUGACGUUACCGACAGAAUAAGCACCGGCUAACUCUGUGCCAGCAGCCGCGGUAAUACAGAGUGUGCAAGCGUUAAUCGGAAUUACUGGGCGUAAAGCGCGCGUAGGUGGUUUGUUAAGUUGGAUGUGAAAUCCCCGGGCUCAACCUGGGAACUGCAUUCAAAACUGACAAGCUAGAGUAUGGUAGAGGGUGGUGGAAUUUCCUGUGUAGCGGUGAAAUGCGUAGAUAUAGGAAGGAACACCAGUGGCGAAGGCGACCACCUGGACUGAUACUGACACUGAGGUGCGAAAGCGUGGGGAGCAAACAGGAUUAGAUACCCACGUAGUCCCUGAGCGGGCUGGCAAGGCGCAU
rnacentral:rRNA from 1 species